rnacentral:rRNA from 1 species
AGAGUUUGAUCAUGGCUCAGGAUGAGCGCUGGCGGCGUGCCUAAUACAUGCAAGUCGAGCGGAAAGGCCCUUCGGGGUACUCGAGCGGCGGACGGCUGAGUAACGCGUAGGAACGUACCCCAAACUGAGGGAUAACUGCUCGAAAGAGUAGCUAAUACCGCAUGUGAUCUCCGGAUUAAAGCUUCGGCGGUUUGGGAACGGCCUGCGUAUGAUUAGAUAGUUGGUGAGGUAAUGGCUCACCAAGUCGAUGAUCAUUAGCUGGUCUGAGAGGAUGAUCAGCCAGACUGGGACUGAGAACGGCCCAGACUCCUACGGGAGGCAGCAGUAGGGAAUUUUCCACAAUGGACGAAAGUCUGAUGGAGCAACGCCGCGUGCAGGAUGAAUGCCUUAGGGUUGUAAACUGCUUUUAUUAGUGACGAUUAUGACGGUAACUAAUGAAUAAGGACCUGCUAACUACGUGCCAGCAGCCGCGGUCAUACGUAGGGUCCAAGCGUUAUCCGGAAUUACUGGGCGUAAAGAGUUGCGUAGGUGGCAGAGUAAGUAGAUAGUGAAAGCGUGUGGCUCAACCAUACAUCCAUUAUCUAAACUGCUCAGCUAGAGGACGAGAGAGGUAGAUGGAAUUCCUGAUGUAGGGGUAAUAUCCGUAGAUAUCAGGAGGAACACCGAUGGCGUAAGCAGUCUACUGGCUCGUUCCUGACACUAAGGCACGAAAGCGUGGGGAGCAAACAGGAUUAGAUACCCUAGUAGUCC